rnacentral:rRNA from 1 species
GACGAACGCUGGCGGCGUGCUUAACACAUGCCAGUCGAACGGAAAGGCCCUGCUUUUGUGGGCUGCUCGAGUGGCGAACGGGUGAGUAACACGUGAGUAACCUGCCCUUGACUUUGGGAUAACUUCAGGAAACUGGGGAUAAUACCGGAUAGGAGCUCCUGCUGCAUGGUGGUGGUUGGAAAGUUUCGGCGGUUGGGGAUGGACGUGCGGCUUAUCAGCUUGUUGGUGGGGUAGUGGCUUACCAAGGCUUUGACGGGUAGCCGGCCUGAGAGGGUGACCGGCCACAUUGGGACUGAGAUACGGCCCAGACGCCUACGGGAGGCAGCAGUGGGGAAUAUGGCACAAUGGGCGGAAGCCUGAUGCAGCAACGCCGCGUGCGGGAUGACGGCCUGCGGGUUGUAAACCGCUUUCGCCUGUGACGAAGCGUGAGUGACGGUAAUGGGUAAAGAAGCACCGGCUAACUACGUG